CGACCACCGCCUAUACCCCCACCUCAGCGCUCAACUGACUCUCUUCCCCAAAGGAGUCCGCUCCAGUCUACCGUGAACCCCACAGCCUGUUCUCAAGGAAAAUACCGAUGGCUCUACUCAGAAGUCUUGUUUUUCCAGUGAUCUUCAUCUUCAAGAUGAUAGUUCCACCUGCAUGGCAGGGAAAUGAUGACAGCAGUCAUUUCAGCUUGGCAAGCAGUAAUCAACAAAUGGAUUUACUUCUUUCUAUCAAAAAGCAUUGAGAAAAGCACAGACCUAAAAAGCAAAUGCAUAGACUGUGCUAGUUCUGCACAUGUCCACUGCAGCUGCAAAUUGAAACUCAGCCUUUCUCUCCAUGUGCAUAGCACACAAUGCAGGCUGUUGGCUCUGCAUUGAUCUUUUCAGCCUCACCCACCCACUUGGAUGGAAAUCACCAUCAGUUGCAUUAUCUUUAAACAUGAGACACAGCUUUGGCGCAGAAUCUAUAUCCACAAAAUUGACCUUCACUAUGUGUCACCCUCUCCCCAGGAACAGCAUUGGUCAUCUCAGACAUCUGCCUACUGUAUGUUUUUGUCAAGAACACCUUGAGUCUCUAUUCCUGUAGGUGCUGUUCCUUUUUAUGUAUGUGCAUCAGCAGGUUGUUAACACCCAUCUAGUCUUUGUCUUCAUGAUUUUCAUGCUCAGAGUGUGUGAAAAGAUGAGAGAGCAUAUACUGUCCCUUAUCUAGUUUUUAAUAUAUGUCAUUUCUCCAGAGAGCUUUCGAUAUGUGUAUGUGUUUUUUCCAAAUUUGCCACAUAUUCUGGUAUAAAUAUAUCUGAUCCAUAAAUGUUUUUUUUAGCAUCAUAUAAAUUCAGUGUGUGUGUGUGUGUGUGUGUGUGUGUGUGUGUGCAUCCUCUGUAUUCUUUAUUGCUGUUCUUUGGCUUUAAUUUUUUCUCUUUUUUAUCUCUUGUAUUUUGGUUGCAUUUACUUUUUUUGCCCUUUUGGUCUGUGUGUGUCUUCUAAAUAUGUCACACACCCCCAAUCGGUUUUCUUUGUCUAUGUCUUUUCCUUAAUAUUUUUCUCUCCUAUGCAUGUCAUAUCUAUGACAGACUUCCUGGUGUGUGUCUGCUGAGUGUCUAACAGCCCCUUACUAUGUGUGUAUUCUGUUCUUUGUGUUAGCUCUUCCCUUUGUGCAUAUCUAUUAACUAUAUUGCUGUCUCUUUCUCCACUGUUAUAUCACUCCCACCCCCUGCUUUGUGCAGCUCUCUGCUUCAUUUUAUAUUUGUGUCUCCCUGCUGUGUGUCACCCUCAUUUCUCUGCUUAUUGUGUGUCCUGUGUGGUAAGCUGUCUCUGUUUUUCCUUCUCUCUCUCUUAGCAUAAGCCUCAUCUUUCUCUGUGUGGCUCAUGGCUCUCUAUUUACUCAGUUUUUAUAUAUGCAUGUGUGUAUGUGUUUCUGCUCUCACUUUCCCUUCUUCCUUUAUUUAGCCUUACUUCAAGUUCCUUUCUCUGGAUUUAAAUUUUUUUAUUGCCAUUUCUUUUUUGUUAGAUGUUUUGAAGGUCCCUGCUUAUUUGUUUGCCUCCUCCCAGUCUUUCUUACUUUCUUACUCUCAUUUUGCCUUGUGUCUGCAACAGGAUUUCCCACCUUACGUCACCUCUGAUAUAACU